rnacentral:misc_RNA from 1 species
GAACGCACAUUGCGCCCCUUGGUAUUCCGAGGGGCAUGCCUAUUCGAGCGUCAUUAUCACCCCUCAAGCCUAGCUUGGUGUUGAGGCCUGCUGUCAAGGCAGCCUCUAAAAUCAGUGGCAGUGCUGUCAGGCUCUAAGCGUAGUAAAUCUAAUCGCUAUAGACACCUGGUGGACACUCGCCAGAACCCCCCCAUUUUUUAAUGAUUGACCUCGGAUUAGGUAGGGAUACCCGCUGAACUUA